rnacentral:rRNA from 1 species
UACGGGGGGGGUAAGCGUUGUUCGGAAUUACUGGGCGUAAAGGGCUCGUAGGCGGCCAACUAAGUCAGACGUGAAAUCCCUCAGCUUAACUGGGGAACUGCGUCUGAUACUGGAUGGCUUGGAUUCGGGAGAGGAAUGCGGAAUUCCAGGUGUAGUGGUGAAAUGCGUAGAUAUCUGGAGGAACACCGGUGGCGAAGGCGGCAUUCUGGACCGACAUUGACGCUGAGGAGCGAAAGCCAGGGGAGCAAACGGG